UACGGAGGGGGCUAGCGUUGUUCGGAAUUACUGGGCGUAAAGCGCGCGUAGGCGGCUUUGUAAGUUAGAGGUGAAAGCCCGGAGCUCAACUCCGGAAUUGCCUUUAAGACUGCAUCGCUAGAAUCAUGGAGAGGUGAGUGGAAUUCCGAGUGUAGAGGUGAAAUUCGUAGAUAUUCGGAAGAACACCAGUGGCGAAGGCGACUCACUGGACAUGUAUUGACGCCGAGGUGCGAAAGCGUGGGGAGCAAACAGG
rnacentral:rRNA from 1 species